ACUAUAGCUCAGUUGGUAGAGCAGCGGUUUUGUAAACCGCAGGUCGCCGGUUCGAGUCCGGCUGGU
rnacentral:tRNA from 1 species